UGGUGGAUUGGUCUGUCUGCUUAAUUGCGAUAACGAACGAGAUCUCUACCACUCAAUAGGUUCGUUGCCAUGAUUGUAGGGAGCCCGCUUCGAGCUCGUCUCCUGCGGACGCCCGAAUGGCACGAUGCUUCUUAGUGGGACCGUGUACGUCCACAGUACACGGAAGAGGGAGCCAAUAGCA
rnacentral:rRNA from 1 species